rnacentral:rRNA from 1 species
GACGGCUCAUUAUAACAGCUAUAAUUUACUUGAUCUUGACUCUUUACAUGGAUAACUGUGGUAAUUCUAGAGCUAAUACAUGCACAAAAGCUCUGACCUUACGGGAGGAGCGCAUUUAUUAGAACAAAACCAAGCGACUUCGGUCGUUUUUUGUUGACUCAGAAUAACUAAGCUGAUCGCAUGGUCUUGUACCGGCGACGUGUCUUUCAAGUAUCUGCCUUAUCAACUUUCGAUGGUAGUAUAUUUGACUACCAUGGUGGUGACGGGUAACGGAGGAUAAGGGUUCGACUCCGGAGAAGGGGCCUGAGAAAUGGCCACUACGUCUAAGGAUGGCAGCAGGCGCGCAAAUUACCCACUCUCAGAAUGAGGAGGUAGUGACGAAAAAUAACGAGACCGUUCUCUACGAGGCCGGUCAUCGGAAUGGGUACAAUUUAAACCCUUUAACGAGUAUCUAUGAGAGGGCAAGUCUGGUGCCAGCAGCCGCGGUAAUUCCAGCUCUCAAAAUGCAUAGAAUUAUUGCUGCGGUUAAAAAGCUCGUAGUUGGAUCUGUGCCAGGGACUCGGUCCAUCUUCGGAUGCGCACUGGGCUCUCGGGCUUUUUGCCGGUUUUCUCGUCGUAGCCUUCACCGGUUGCGGCGGGUGGCUGGCGAUUUUACUUUGAACAAAUCAGAGUGCUUAACACAGGCGUUUUGCUUGAAUGUUCUUGCAUGGAAUAAUAGAAAAGGAUUUCGGUUCUAUUUUAUUGGUUUUAUAGACUGAGAUAAUGGUUAACAGAGACAAACGGGGGCAUUCGUAUCGCUGCGUGAGAGGUGAAAUUCUUGGACCGCAGCGAGACGAACUACAGCGAAAGCAUUUGCCAAGAAUGUCUUCAUUAAUCAAGAACGAAAGUCAGAGGUUCGAAGGCGAUCAGAUACCGCCCUAGUUCUGACCGUAAACGAUGCCAACUAGCGAUCCGCCGGUGGAUAUAUUGCCCUGGUGGGGAGCUUCCCGGAAACGAAAGUCUUCCGGUUCCGGGGGAAGUAUGGUUGCAAAGCUGAAACUUAAAGGAAUUGACGGAMGGGCACCACCAGGAGUGGAGCCUGCGGCUUAAUUUGACUCAACACGGGAAAACUCACCCGGCCCGGACACCGUAAGGAUUGACAGAUUGAUAGCUUUUUCAUGAUUCGGUGGAUGGUGGUGCAUGGCCGUUCUUAGUU